UGGGGAAUUUUGGACAAUGGGCGAAAGCCUGAUCCAGCAAUGCCGCGUGUGCGAAGAAGGCCUUCGGGUUGUAAAGCACUUUUACCAGGAACGAAAAGUUUGGCUCUAAUAAAGUCGGACGAUGACGGUACCUGGAGAAUAAGCACCGGCUAACUACGUGCCAGCAGCCGCGGUAAUACGUAGGGUGCAAGCGUUAAUCGGAAUUACUGGGCGUAAAGCGUGCGCAGGCGGUUGUGUAAGACAGAUGUGAAAUCCCCGGGCUUAACCUGGGAAUUGCAUUUGUGACUGCACGACUAGAGUGUGUCAGAGGGGGGUGGAAUUCCACGUGUAGCAGUGAAAUGCGUAGAUAUGUGGAGGAACACCAAUGGCGAAGGCAGCCCCCUGGGAUAACACUGACGCUCAUGCACGAAAGCGUGGGGAGCAAACAGGAUUAGAUACCCUGGUAGUCCACGCCCUAAACGAUGUCAACUAGUUGUUGGGGAUUUACUUCCUUGGUAACGUAGCUAACGCGUGAAGUUGACCGCCUGGGGAGUACGGCCGCAAGGUUA
rnacentral:rRNA from 1 species